rnacentral:lncRNA from 1 species
GGAGUUCAAGACCAGCCUGGCCAACAUGAUGAAACCCUGGCUCUACUAAAAAAUACAAAAAUUAGCCAGGUGUGGUGGCAUGCACCUGUAAUCCCAGUUACUCAGGAGGCUGAGGCAGGAGGAUCACUUAAACUCAGGAGGUGGAAGUUGCAGUGAGCCGAGAUCGCACCACUGCACUCCAGCCUGGGUNNNNNNNNNNNNNNNNNNNNNNNGGUGACAGAGUGAGACUCCAUCUCAAAAUAAAUAAAUAAAUAAAUAAAUAAAUAAAUAAAUAAAUAAGUGUUUCAUUCAUUCCUUCAUUCCUCUAAGGAGGUAGUAGAGCACAACAGCUAAAAGCAUGGACUCUGGAGCCAAACUGUCUGGCUUGAAUCCCAGCUCCACCAACUAAUGGCUGUGUUGCCUUGGGCAAUUUACUUAACCUCUCUAUAGCUCCGUUUCCUCAUCUGUAAAAUAGCAACUAUCAAUAGCUGCCUCACAGGACUAUUGCGAGGUUUAUAUGUGUAUGUCGAGUGCUUAGAAUAAUGGCUGACAUGUAAUAAAAACUAAGCUUGUGCUAGCUGCUAUUGUCACAUACUUGGUCAUCAAGAAAUUAUUGAGCACAUAUGUCAGGGUCGGUUCCAGGCUCCAGAUCCCAUAAUGAGCCAUCCAGAUGCAGCCUCUGCUCUCACGGAGCUUACAGUUUCAUGGGAGAGACACACUUUCACUAAUCCUGUAAAAAUGUCCCUAUAUAACGUGACGAGAGCUACAAAGACCAAGGACGCAGAGCCCUGAGGACCUGUAGGGCACUAACUGAGAUUUGCAGGUCGGAGAGGAGCUCUUGGGGGUGACGCAUGUCCCUGCCAUGUCUGACUAUCCUGAGGGUGCCAUCAGCGUCAGCAGGCACCCAGUGGGGACAAAGCCCAGCCUGUGCCCUUCACAGGCCUGGCCACAGCAUGUGUCUGCUCACACCCUCAGCGUGAGAAGCCCAGGCAGCACCAACGCUCCUACAUGCUACCUGCCACCUGCCACCACCCCACUUCUGGGUCCCAAGGUGGCCUGGGAACAGAACCAGGAUUCCUGCUUCGAGUCCUCACAUUGUCCAGUCAAGAACAGGCACUCUUCCUGUGGGAUUUCCUGGCACAAUUUGGCCACCUCGAAGGUCCCAGCUCCACCUCAGGAGUCCUACUACCUUCCGUAGAGACUGUCCUCAAUCUGAUCCCAAGCCGGGAAGAUGAAGCAAUGGAUUGUCCGAGGUGCUUUACUGUUUGCUCAGCAAAUGUUUCCAGGCAUCUCAUUCUAUCACCACAACUUCAUGCAGUCAGUGUUGUGAUUAUUAUUAUUAUACCUAUUUUACAGGUGAGGAAACAGACUCAGAAAGGAUAAGCCACUUUCCCAAGGUCACAGAGCUUUUAAGUAGAACAGCUAGCACUCCAACCCAGGUCUACUUGAUUAUGAUCUUUGAAAUAACAUGAGUGACUAUAAUAAUAGACAAUCCUUCUAUAGCACUUUCUACAUGACAGAUAUCAGCCUAUAAACUUUAUAUAUUUAAAUCAUUUAAUCCUCAUAAUAAACCUAUGAGGUAGAUGCUAUUGUUAUUCUCAUUUUACAGGUGAGGAAACUGAGGCACGGAGAGGCUAAGCCACCUGCCCAAGGCCAGUUAGAUGGGGCAUAAGGCAGAGUCACCAUGAGGAGAGUCAGAGAAUGGUGGCGCUGGGAACGGCCUUAGCAGCCCUCAGUCAGAGGCCCAGGGGGAGGACGGGACAGACUUGAGGCUGUGGUGGAGCAACCCUGCAACCCUGCACCCCUGGUGGCGCCUGCUGCUCCACAGGCUGCCUCUCUGACCCAUCUGUCUCCAAGGAUGCAGGGGUCUAGGUUGCCCUUGGAGUCUGCCCUUCCCUCCCCCUUCAGUUUGCCCACACUAGUGAGGGCAGGGCACUGCCUUGUCCCACUCCGUAUCUCUUCUUCACCCAGCCCUAUUGCCCCCAUCAAGAGACACCCCUCGGCAGUGGAGUCAGCAGUGGGCCUAUCCUAAAAAAACGGGCCCCAGAGAGGGGCAAAGGGCGUGGGGUGAAGGACACAGGCAAGGGGCAAGGAUUAAAGGCAGCAAAGUACUUGGGAAACUAGAGAAUUUCUCUAGCUUUUGCCUUUAGCCAAUGGCACCAUCCUGGUGCCGCCACCUGAAACCCAUGGGGGUCUCCACCACUUUGGCCUGCAUGUUUUCCACAAGCUGAGCCACCUCUUCCCUAGGGGGCAAGGGGAAUAAGAGGAAGGUUUGUUCAAGAGCUGCCCCUGGCCAGGAAGUGGAAAGACCCCUCCAGCUGGGCCAGGUGAGGUAGAGCAGAGGGAGAGAACGCAGGAGCAGAGGCAGCACGUGCCACAGCCCGUUAAGGUGACCCUGACUGUUUCUCUCUCUCUUGCAGGUCCCCAGACACAGCUCUCCAGAGGUCUAGUGCAGAGGACAGAGCCGAUGCACAGACAAAAAGAAACCCUCAGGACAAGGCUGGGACAGGGCCCCAGGAUGGGAAGGCAGGGCGGGAGGCAGGUUGUGGAGGGGCUGUGGGUCCCACCUUCAAGUUGCACUAAAGCACCUUGAGGAGGCCUUGUGCUGAGCUGGCUUGUUUCUGCCUCCCAGCUGGACCACAAAAUGGGAGGAAACAUCCCAUAAAGUUGCCGAACUGCCUCUGUGGCCGGAAGUGCUGCCAGGGGCUGCUGGUUCCCUCUCUAAUUGCUCUUAAUUUCUAUGAUUUGCAGGUCUCAGGCUCAUGGAGGGCCCAUUCCCCAUUGUGAUGGACGGGCAGGCACAGUCAGCCUGUUGAGUCAGCCGCUGCAGGCUCUGACUUGGCCCGGCUGGGUCCUGCAAGGUAUAGGGCACCCACCUCUCUCCUCCUCUUCCUGGGCCCAAUCCAGAACCCUGGGCCACAAGCCCCCACUGAAGCUCCGUCCUUUCUCCUGUUUCACCUUUGCAGGAGGGUCCCGCAGCCC